CGCGCCCAGGCGUGGGCCUGUGCGCCCUCGGGGAGCACUGGGCUGCGGCGCGACACCCCACGCCGCGGCCUGCGGGUAAAGUGUGGUGGGGGGCUCCCAAGGCAGCGAGCGCCCAGACCGCCCCACUCCCUCCCUCAGCGCGAGCCCCGACCCGGGGAAGAAGGAAACCCACUUCCGCCGCGUCCACGAUCUCCCGCGGCUUCUCCUGACCCUUGCGGCUGGCGUUGACGCUGGGCAUCAGGACACUGGACUGGGGGAGUGGGUACCACCCUCCCUCGCUGGCUUCCGACGGCAGGAAAAAGGGCGUUUCCCUCCCGCACCGGCUCGCCCUCCCGGCCCCGGCUUGAAGCUCUCAGACACCGCGUGCGAGCUUGGCUUCGAAAUAUCGCGAGAGUUACCGUGGCGAUCUCGCGCGCCGCCGCUGGUUUCUCCCUCUGCCCCGCCCAUGGGCGCCAAGGGGCGUUCCCGAGGCCUGGAAAACUUGUCAAAUUAUCUGUGCAAGUUCAGGGCCUGAUCUCCACUUUUGGAUGUCACUGCCCCGUGGAGGCGUGUCCCUUGGGUCAGAGGACCUCUUGGCAAGCUGUCCUGCUGUCGGGGGCACGGCGUGCUGGGUUGCUAGGGCUGGCUGGAGAGUGAGUAUACAGUGGUAACCUACGCGUUUCCCCUGACUCUUUGCAUUGUUAAAGGUAGAGUAUCAUGUUGGUUGUUCAAUGGGUGGAUCUCCCCAAAUUAGACUUAAAAAAUGUAAUUGGUUUUUUUGAAGGACGGGUUUGGUGACACAGCCCUGCAAUUACAGCCCUCAGGAGACAGGGGCUGGAGAGUGAGGCCAGCUUUAUCUGCAUAGUGAUGGUUCAUGUUCUUGACUCUGAGCUGGAACCUAGGCUGAUCUGCCAUCUUGGUGCACGCCGACCAUCUUAAUGUAGUCUGCUCCUGUCUGCGCAAAACGGAAGAAUCUUCAUUCCUUAGGGAAUGAUAUUGAAUAUUUAUGAUCAAUAAUACAUCCCACAUUCUAUUCACUUGUUCCCAUAAGCAUGUAGUCAUAUAAUGCAAAACUUCAUUCACUCUAACUUUAAGUCCCCAUAGUCUAUUAAAGUCUCAAUGUUGUUUAAAAGUCCAAAGUCUCUUCAGAAAUUCAUGGCAAUCUCUUAACUGUAAUCCUCUCUAAAAUCAAAAUCAAAAAGCUGAUCACAUACUUCGAAUAUAGAGUGGCACAAGAUAUACUUUUGUCAUUCUGAAAGGGAGGGAAGGGAGCAUAAUAAGGAAAUGACCAAAGCAAGACUAAAAACCAGCAGGGAAAACUCUCAACUCUGCAUCUCUCUGAUGGCAAAAUACUUCUUCAGAUCUCCAACUGUGGUGGUUUGAGAGAAAAUGACCCCUAAAGUGAGUGGCACUAUUGGGAGAUAUGGCUUUGUUGAAGUGAGUAUGUCCUUAUUGGAGGAAGUAUGUUACUGUGGGGGCAGGGUUUGAGGUUUCCUAUGGUCAGGAUAUGGUGUAGUGUCUCAGUCAACUUCCUGUUGCCUGCAAGAUGAAGCACCCUUAACUACUUCACCAGUGUUGUGUCUGCCUGCACACUGCUAUGCUGCUUGCCACGAUGAUAAUAAUGGACUGAAACCACUAAAACUAAAACGAACAAAGUCCCAUAUGGCUCCCACUAUGAUGCAUCUGACCAGGACAGUAUCCCGGAGCCACUGCACAAAUGAAACACUGGAAGGCAGAUGAGAAACUCAUCAAAAGGAAACAUCCCAAGAGGAAGAGGAAGCAGAUAAUUUGAGAGACAUCAAGACUUAUAACUCAUCAAGCUGAGACACUGGGAGAUAAGGACACAAUUCUACUGACCCAAAAUGAUGCUGUUAUAUUUACUGACUAUAUUAAGUGCUAAUUUUCAGCUUGUUAGUAAAGAAUCCAAAUGUUUUUGUCCGUGGGGGAUAGAAGGCAUGCCUGUAGCAGGAGACAGGAUGAGGUUGUUUUGCCUAUGUUAAGCAUUGUUUUUAGGCUUUAUGGCAUCUUCUCACAGCAAGUGAAACCCUCACUAAGACAUAGUCAAUCCAUGGAACUCACCUUUAUGGAAGACAU